CCAGUCCCAGUCAGGCCCUAUUGCCAAUCAACUGACCCACAGGAGUUUAUCGGGGAAGCCUCUAGAGGAAGUCCUAGCCAAGAAACUGGGGAAAGUCACUAUUGCUGCACUCCAGACACAAGAGACAGUCCCUCUGGACAGAAAAAGAGAAAGCCGCCUUUUUGGCUUUAAAGAAAACCUUAGUGUCAGCACCAGCCCUGGCCCUACCUGAUCUCACCAAGCCUUUUUGGUUGUCUGUGGCUGAACAAGGGGGCAUAGGCAAAGGAGUGCUAGCUCAGGCAUUAGGGCCUUGAAACAGACCUGUGGCCUACUGUCUAAAAGACUUGAUCCUGUGGCAAGUGGAUGGUCUACCCAUUUGAGGGCAGUUGUAGCCACCACCCUCCUGGUCAAGGAGGCAGAUAUGCUCAGCCUGGGAUGGGACCUGGUCAUCACCGCACCCCAUGUGGUGGAAACAUUGCUGAGAGGAGCUCCAGAAUGAUGGCUCUCCAACACCUGCCUGACUCAGUACCAGGCCGUUGCUGUAUGCUUCAUGCAUCAAAUUCACCUGAGAAAUGACCCUCAAUCUGGCCACCUUACUCCUGGACUCCGACUCAUACACAUGCCCCUCCAUGACUGUCUGGACACUCUGACAACUUCCACCACCAACAGCCCAGAUCUGACUGAUGUUGCCCUGCAAAGCCCAGAUGAGUCCUUCUUCACUGAUGAAAACAGCUUCAUGGAAGACUGAAUCAGUCUCUUCAAGCCUUACAGAUUCUUCAGAGUGAGAUCCAGGCUACAAAACAACAGGCUUGAGAAAAAAAAACCUUUGCAAUGUUCCAGCCCCAUGGUUUCAAGCCAGGAGACCUGGUCCUGAUAUGCUUGGUUUGCUUGCACCGAGGACUUGACUAAAUACAUUCCCAAAUCAAUCUUGGCUACCCAAUCUGCCACUUUAUUUUGUGUCACUGUGUAUGUUGUUCCACAAGUCUUGUAUUAUAAUAAAAGAGGGGGCUGCAAACAUCUGGGAUUAACCACUGAACACUACAGGAGUAAACGAGCUGCCCCCAUUUUAGUGCCCAUUCUGGUGGGAUUAGGAAUAGCUGGGUCAGUGGCUAGUGGAACUUCCUCCCUGAUCCUUCAGGACACAAAUUUUAAAAGCCCUAAGCCACCAAGUAGCCAGAGAUUUGGGUCACCU
rnacentral:lncRNA from 1 species